rnacentral:rRNA from 1 species
UCGAUACAACGCGCAAAACCUUGCCAGCCCUUGACAUAUGAACAAAAAAACCUGUCCUUAACGGGAUGGUACUUACUUUCAUACAGGCGCUGCAUGGCUGUCGUCAGCUCGUGUCGUGAGAUGUUUGGUCAAGUCCUAUAACGAGCGAAACCCUCGUUUUGUGUUGCUGAGACAUGCGCCUCCGGAGAAAUUGCCUUAGAUAGUGGUCAUAGUACGCCGGCCUCCGAAAGAAAAAGGUGCGUGCCGCACUCACGAGGGACUGCCAGUGAGAUACUGGAGGAAGGUGGGGAUGACGUCAAGUCCGCAUGGCCCUUAUGGGCUGGGCCACACACGUGCUACAAUGGCAAUGACAAUGGGAAGCAAGGCUGUAAGGCGGAGCGAAUCCGGAAAGAUUGCCUCAGUUCGGAUUGUUCUCUGCAACUCGGGAACAUGAAGUUGGAAUCGCUAGUAAUCGCGGAUCAGCAUGCCGCGGUGAAUAUGUACCCGGGCCCUGUACACACCGCCCGUCACACCCUGGGAAUUGGUUUCGCCCGAAGCAUCGGAACAAUGAUCACCCAUGACUUCUGUGUCACACUAGUCACACAAUGCACUUUGGUGGUCUUAUUGGUCCAUACCACGGUGGGGUCUUCGACUGGGGUGAAGUCGUAACAAGGUAAC